GCACAAGCGGUGGAUGAUGUGGAUUAAUUCGAUGCAACGCGAAAAACCUCACCUACCCUUGACAUGUCUGGAAUCCCGAAGAGAUUUGGGAGUGCUCGCAAGAGAACUGGAACACAGGUGCUGCAUGGCUGUCGUCAGCUCGUGUCGUGAGAUGUUGGGUUAAGUCCCGCAACGAGCGCAACCCUUGUCAUUAGUUGCUACGAAAGGGCACUCUAAUGAGACUGCCGGUGACAAACCGGAGGAAGGUGGGGAUGACGUCAAGUCCUCAUGGCCCUUAUGGGUAGGGCUUCACACGUCAUACAAUGGUCGGGACAGAGGGUUGCCAACCCGCGAGGGGGAGCUAAUCUCAGAAACCCGAUCGUAGUCCGGAUUGCAGUCUGCAACUCGACUGCAUGAAGUCGGAAUCGCUAGUAAUCGCGGAUCAGCAUGUCGCGGUGAAUACGUUCCCGGGUCUUGUACACACCGCCCGUCACACCAUGGGAGUGGGUUUCACCAGAAGUAGUUAGCCUAACCGCAAGGGGGGCGAUUACCACGGUGGGAUUCAUGACUGGGGUGAAGUCGUAACAAGGUAACC
rnacentral:rRNA from 1 species